rnacentral:rRNA from 1 species
UACGUAGGUGGCAAGCGUUGUCCGGAAUUACUGGGCGUAAAGGGCGUGUAGGCGGCCUUUUAAGUCAGACGUGAAAACCCUGGGCUUAACCCAGGAACUGCGUUUGAAACUGGAAGGCUUGAGGACCGGAGAGGGUAGUGGAAUUCCCAGUGUAGCGGUGAAAUGCGUAGAUAUUGGGAGGAACACCAGUGGCGAAGGCGACUGCCUGGACGGCACCUGACGCUGAGGCGCGAAAGCGUGGGUAGCGAACGGG